rnacentral:rRNA from 1 species
AUUGAACGCUGGCGGCAGGCCUCCCACAUUCAAGUCGCGCGUAGCGGCGGACUGGUGAUUAAUGCCUAGGAAUCUGCCUGGUAGUGUGGGAUACCGUCCGGAAACGGGCGCUAAUACCGCAUCCUAUCAGAUGAGCCUAGGUCGGAUUAGCUAGUUGGUGGGGUAAAGGCCUACCAAGGCGACGCUCCGUCACUGGUCUGAGAGGAUAAUCAGUCAAACGGGAAAUGAGAAACGGUACAGACUCCUAAGGGAGGCAGCAGUGGGGAAUAUGGGACAAUGGGCGAAAGCCGGAUCCAGCCAUGCCGCGUGUGGGAAGAAGGUCUUCGGAUGGUAAAGCACUUUAAGUUGGGAGGCGUUAACAACAGAAUAAGCCACGGCUAAAUACGUGCCAGCAGCCGCGGUAAUAA